rnacentral:rRNA from 1 species
UACGUAGGGCGCAAGCGUUGUCCGGAAUUAUUGGGCGUAAAGAGCUCGUAGGCGGCCUGUUGCGUCCGCUGUGAAAUUCCGGGGCUCAACCCCGGGCGUGCAGUGGAUACGGGCUGGCUGGAGGCAGGCAGGGGAGACUGGAAUUCCUGGUGUAGCGGUGAAAUGCGCAGAUAUCAGGAGGAACACCGGUGGCGAAGGCGGGUCUCUGGGCCGAUACUGACGCUGAGGAGCGAAAGCGUGGGGAGCGAACAGG